UACAGAGGUCUCAAGCGUUGUUCGGAUUCAUUGGGCGUAAAGAGCUCGUAGGCGGUUUGUCGCGUCUGCUGUGAAAACUCGGGGCUUAACUCCGGGCCUGCAGUGGGUACGGGCAGACUAGAGUGCGGUAGGGGAGACUGGAAUUCCUGGUGUAGCGGUGAAAUGCGCAGAUAUCAGGAGGAACACCGGUGGCGAAGGCGGCUCACUGGCCCGGUACUGACGCUGAGGUGCGAAAGCGUGGGGAGCAAACAGG
rnacentral:rRNA from 1 species